ensembl:lncRNA
UAAUGGUUAUGUAAAUGAUGGUGUUAAUUAUGGUGUUGAUGAGUGAGUGGAUGAUGUAAAAUGAUGGUGUAAAUGAUGGUGUUAAUAAAUAAAUAAUGGUGUAGAUGAUAAUGAUGGUGGUAAUGAUGGUGUAAAUGAGUAAAUGAUGGUGUGAGGUGAUGGUGUUAAUGAUGGUGUUAUUGAUGGUGGUAAUGAGUGAGUGAUGGUGGUAAUGAUGGUGGUAGUGAUGGUGUGGGUGAUGGGGGUUAAUGAUGGUGGUAGUGAUGGUGUUAAUGAGGUGAGUGAUGGUGUAAAUGGUGGUAGUGAUGGUGUUAAUGAUGGGUGUGGGGAUGGUGGUAGUGAUGUGGUAAUGAUGGUGGUAGUGAUGGUGUUAAUGAGUGAGUGAUGGUGUAAAUGAUGGUGGUAAUGAUGGUGGUAGUGAUGGUGGUAAUGAUGGUGUGAGUGAUGGUGUAAAUGAUGGUGGUAAUGAUGGUGGUAGUGAUGGUGGUAAUGAUGGGGUAGUGAUGGUGUAAAUGAUGGUGGUAGUGAUGGUGUUAAUGAUGGUGGUAGUGAUGGUUGUAAUGUUGGUGUGAUGGUGUUAAUGAUGGUGGUAGUGAUGGUGGUAAUGAUGGUGGUAGUGAUGGUGUUAAUGAUGGUGGUAUGGAUGGUGUUAAUGAGUGAGUGAUGGUGUGGGUGAUGGUGUUAAUGAUGUGGUAGUGAUGGUGUUAAUGAGUGAGUGAUGGUGUAAAUGAUGGUGGUAAUGAUGGUGGUAGUGAUGGUGGUAAUGAUGGUGGUAGUGAUGGUGGUAGUGAUGGUGUAAAUGAUGGUGGUAAUGAUGGUGUGGGUGAUGGUGGUUAAUGAUGGUGGUAGUGAUGGUGGUAGUGAUGGUGGUAAUGAUGGUGGUAGUGAUGGUGGUAGUGAUGGUGUAAAUGAUGGUGGUAAUGAUGGUGGUAGUGAUGGUGGUAAUGAUGGUGGUAGUGAUGGUGUUAAUGAUGGUGUGGGUGAUGGUGGUAAUGAUGGUGGUAGUGAUGGUGGUAAUGAUGGUGGUAGUGAUGGUGUUAAUGAUGGUGUGGGUGAUGGUGGUAGUGAUGGUGGUAGUGAUGGUGGUAGUGAUGGUGGUAGUGAUGGUGGUAAUGAUGGUGGUAGUGAUGGUGUUAAUGAUGGUGUGGGUGAUGGUGGUAGUGAUGGUGGUAAUGAUGGUGGUAGUGAUGGUGGUAAUGAUGGUGGUAGUGAUGGUGGUAAUGAGUGAAUGAUGAUGACGUUGGAUUCGAUCGUAUCGUUACAGUUCUAUAUUUGAACCCAUGUGUUAAAUGAUGUAGUGGCAGAAAUGAGCCCGGGUUAUUCCACGAUACCGAGCGUCUGAACGCAGCCUCGCUCACAGUCAAC